rnacentral:lncRNA from 1 species
GAGCACCCGUGCCAGCGCCCGCAGCAGCAGCAGCUCCAUGGAACCUCUGCCAUUCGCCUCCAGCAGCAGGGUGCAUUUGCUCACCACCUCCUCCGAGCAGCCCCGCCGGAGCAGGGCCUCCAGCUCGUACACCGAGGCCACCACGUUGUUGGGGAUGAGGCUGGAGAGGAAAACUGCAGCUAUUCCCACGCUGAGGGACACCACGGCCAGGUUCCUGCUCCGGAUUUUGGGGAUCUGAGCCUUGCCUUGGCACCAGGCCUCCAGCGUGGCCACCACUCGCUGGCAGGGCUCGUGGCCCAUGGCCUUCACUCUCUGCACGGCUGUGGGGCCACAGCAGCUGAAAGCAGCCAGGUAAAAAGCGGUGGCAGCUGGAAAUUCCUGCCGGGAGAGCUGCUCGUCGCCUUCCCCACAGAGCAGGGCGGCCAGGUCCUCGGGCGCCAUUUCCUGUGCUUGGGCCUUCAGCGAGCGGCAUCGCGGGGGGAGCCCGGCUGGGGCCUGGGAAACACAAAUGAGGGGCUGUGGAGGCUGCUGUGACCAUUCAGGCUGGGGAAUGAAGAUGUUUCUCCUAAAUGAUGCAGGCUGGGUGACCGGGUGCCCUCCCCACUGAAGCCCAGGAGCUCCGCCGGUGUGUGAAGCCACACGAUGAAAUUUCAUCCCGAGGCAUCUUCGGCUCCACGCCCUCAGUCUGUUGGGAGAGCUGGGCUGAGGGAGCUCUGUUGCCAGCCUGAGGCAGGAUCUCCUUCUCCUGUGGAGGGAAUUUGCAGCCCUGGCACCGUGUCCCCAUGUCCCCACAGCUGCUGCUGCUCCUUUGGGUCCCAGCAGAGUUCAAAUGGAGACCUCUAAGGGUAGUCAGUGACAGAUCUGAUUCCUAAUGCAUUCUGGUGGGAAAUAUUAAUUUUCAGGAUGUUUUCAAUCUUUUAAAAGCUGUUUUUAUCACAGAAUUAUUGAGGUUUGAAAAGAUCUCCAGGAUCAGAGUCUAUCCUGAGCUUGAUCCCCACCUCAUCACCAGCCCAGAGCUCUGAGUGCCACCUCCAGGAAUUCCUUGGACACUUCCAGAGAUGGGGACUCCAAACCUCCCUUGGGAGGCCUGACCACCCUUCCAUGGAGAAAUUCCUGCUGAUGUCCAGCCUGAGCCUCCCUAGGCACACUUUGGGGUCGUUUACCCUCAUCCUAUCCCUGUUCCCUGGGAGCAGAGCCUGACACCCCCAGCUCCCCCCUCCUGCCAGGGAGUCUGCAGAGCCAGAAGAUCCCCCCAGGCAUCCUUUUCUCCAGGACUUAAAAUCCUAUUGUAGAAUAUGUUAGACAGCUCUUUGGUCAAACUUCUCUGCUCUCCAGACAACCACAACCCCCUGGGUGCAUGCAGGUGGCACAGAAAGCCACGGUGAUCUCUCCAUGCGCUGGACUAUUUUCAUCUCUGCUCACACAAUAAGAAUGACAAUGCAAAGGAUUGCAGGGAUCCUUGAUAAGGAGCAGGAUUAAGAUGCACUUGAGUGAGAUUACAAGAAAAGUGUGGUUGUUCCAUUAGAAAAAGGAAUAAUCCCUUUGUUUAUGUUCUGGAGAUUAAAGCAGUGAGAGCAGAAAGCACCCAGAGGUCACCACACACAGACUGUGCUGUCUCAGGGGCUGUUUGGGCUGUGAGUCUGGGAUUCAGCUGUGCAGUUGCAGAAUUUAAUCUGUUCUCCUUGUGCUGGGAGUUCUGCAGUGGCUCCAUGUGAGGCAGGGAAGUGGCUCUGCCUAUUCCACAGGCAGAAGGGUGUGCUUGACUUGGAGUAAAAGUCAGUGGGGUGAAUGAAGGAUGUUCCCCUAUGAUGUUCUUGGUGUUCCCUGUGGAUGUUCACACACCCACCUUCCCCUCUGAUAGUGCACCCUCUGAUACAAAGGCUCAAGAGCAGAAAUUUCCUGCUAAAAUCACAGAAUUAUGAGGUUGGAUAAGGCUUCCAAAUCCAACCUGUGACCAGUCACCACCUUGUCACCCAAACCAGAGCUCUGACUGCCAUGUCCAGUCAUUAAACUGGUGUUUAAGAGAGCUCUCAAAUGUGUGGGUGGAAGGUGGCCCACGCUGGAGAAGUUUUAGCCUGGUCAUUUUAUGAUCUGACCCAGUCAGUCAGGAUCUGGCUGAGUAUUACAAAGCUCACCCCCUGUAAUCUCAUCCUCUCCUGCUCUGAGUUACUCCACUGGCAUUUCCCAGCCUGGCUUUGCAAGUCCAGCAUUUUGUAGAUGGGAAGUUCUGAAAUGAGGAGCAGUUGGGCCAUGUGUGACUGGGGACCAAGACCAACCUCUGGAUAUCCAAACACUCCAACAUCCCACCCUCAUAAUUAGGGUGAUUUUCCAUCUGGUUUAGCACCUGUCCAGUGUGGGACAUUGGAAAAAAUUCCUCAAUAUGCCAAGCAAGGGGCCUGAAAAAAAACCCAACAAAACCAGCCUUACCCUCUGCUUCUGUUCUUCCCAGUGCAAAGUGACAAAGCCAUCCCAUUUCUGAGGUGUGAUGUUUUAUUUCCCACGUUUAUUUAGGAUAGAAGGAUUUGAGGCUGAGGAUAGUGACUAGUUGGAUGGGCUGAGCCUCAGAAGGGACCCCCAGCAGGGCUGAAACUUGGAAUAACAGACCAUGAGGGAUAAAAAAGAGAAGCUGUUAAUGUUGCCAGCUGAAAUGGAACACUGUUAACCCACCCAUUUUAUCCCUUCUCUGUUAAUACUGAAGCUUUCUGCACUUAUUUCCCCUCAUUCCUUCCCUGCUUCCCAAAAAAACAGGGAUAAAGAGAUGUUGUCAAGGGAUAACUUGUUGGGUUCUGCUGUUUCCAAAUCAUCUUGGCCUGCAGUAAGUUUAUCAACCAGCCAUGGCAACAUCAAUCACCCAGAAAAAUAGCACAGAGUGAAAUGACUUUUCAAAAUGUCGUUGGUAUAAUUAUCAUCUUGGCCAUUACAUUAAAUGCCACCAUUUAUAACUGUUAUGUUUAAGUAUGCAAACAGUAAUUAACUUGGUAAUGAACUGAGGACCCCUGUGCCUCUCUUCCCUCAGCUAAUUUGCAUGUUAAUUAUCAUUAGCAACCAGGGAAACAAGUUAUAAACAGCUUAAUUAGCAGCUUAAUCAUUUUUACAAGAAAACGUGCUGCACUUUGAUACACGAGCAAGAGUUGGAUUAAUGAAGUCAGACAAGGGAGUUCUCCCUGUGCUGGUCCUGCUGCAGUGCUGGGCUUGUUUUGGGUUUAUUUUGGGCAAUUUGGGGCCCCCAGAUGUGCCCUUGCACAGCCCUGUGCACACUCAGGCUCUGGGCACUCUUGCACAAGGCUCUCUCAGUGCUCCUGAUUGGUACCUACUUAAGAAAUUCUGAAUUUCCUAAUAAAAACUAAUUUUCUUUAGUUUUACCUCCAUUUUUUUUCUUUUUUGGCAGAAAUUUUCUGUUGAUUUAAUGGAAAAUUUAGGUGUAGUUUGAUUAUUUAGAUCUAAUUUGAUUAUUUGGUUGUAUUUUGUUAGGGUUUUUUUGUUCGGUUUUUUUUUGAAGGUGGUUGUACUUCCAUCCCCCAACUACACUAUAAAUAAUAAUUGUAUCAUUUAUAGUCUAAUAUAAAAAACAGCCAGCUCACACGCAUUUCGAAGAAUUUUUUUUCUUAUUAUUUUUAAGUUUUUAAAAAUCACACUCACAAAUUAAACAGAGAGCUGGAAUUGGGUCUUAAGGACACAAUAAUUAAAGGAAGGCAAAUCCAAAUAAGAAGGAGAAAUGCAAGCUGUGGUUUGUAGGUGUAGGCAGGUGCAGUCACCUGUGUGGAUUUGCAUUUAGGAGAUUUUUUUCGACAUCUUGGAUGGGUAAAAUCUCCAGAUGAGGCUCACCCUGUUCUUAUCCCUCGGAUAAAAUGUCAUUCUGGGAAUUAUCCCACAUUGCCCUGCCAAGAGCACUUCUCACUGGAUCAGGAGUCAAUCAUUGGAUGGAAAGCAGCAGGAAUUUUGUCCUAAGAUGGGAACAAAUUAUCUGAGGAGGUUGUGGGAUCUGCCACCAGGGAUUUUGGGAAUGGGCGGUCUGUAAAAGAGGGUUGGGGCGUUUUGAUGCUGGUUCAGGGCGGAUUUCGAGCCUGGAACCAGACAGGUCCUGGGAUGAGGCUGCAGAGCAUCCCUGGCGCUCCAUCGGGACAUUCGGGAUCCGACAAAACCGCAGCUUUGACCCCAGAUCAGGCUGAAUUCCCCAUUCCGCGGGAAUCCAGGGGUUUCCUCCAGCAAGAUGAAGAUUCCCGUGGUUAUGACGCGUAAAGGAGUUGGGCUUUGUACCCAAAUUUGGCUGAAGAGGUGGCACAGCCUGGAUUGUCACCUGAGUGCCACCCUGCCAUGGCGGGCUUUGGCCAGCAGGGGGGGCCAGCGCACCGCCAGGAAGGGCAGGAACGGGCCCGUUUGGGAAUAUUCCCUUAAAUUAUUAUUUAUUUUUAUUUUCUAUUAACACAGAAGCAGGAAGCUGCCGCUGCCUUGUGGGCUCAGCGCACGGAACUCGCCCACAAUGCUUGCAAAAUCCUGACUUUACAAUCCAGAAGAAAGGAGUUAAUUUGGCUCAAUAAGGCUCAAAUGCCUUA